rnacentral:piRNA from 1 species
UAAGGUGCUCUUUGACCAGUCUGGGU